rnacentral:rRNA from 1 species
AGAGUUUGAUCAUGGCUCAGGAUGAACGCUAGCUACAGGCUUAACACAUGCAAGUCGAGGGGCAGCAUGUUGGUUGCUUGCAACCAACGAUGGCGACCGGCGCACGGGUGAGUAACGCGUAUCCAACCUACCCUUGUCCAUCGGAUAACCCGUCGAAAGGCGGCCUAACACGAUAUGCGGUUCACAGCAGGCAUCUAACGUGAACGAAAUGUAAAGGAGAAGGAUGGGGAUGCGUCUGAUUAGCUUGUUGGCGGGGUAACGCCACAGGCUACGAUCAGUAGGGGUUCUGAGAGGAAGGUCCCCCANAUUGGAACUGAGACACGGUCCAAACUCCUAGGGAGCA